rnacentral:tRNA from 1 species
GGAAGGUUGACAGAGCGGCCGAAUGUGACGGUCUUGAAAACCGUUGUGCGGGCAACCGUACCAAGGGUUCGAAUCCCUUACCUUCCG